GGUUAUGGCUCAGUGGUAGAGCGCUCGCCUAGCAUGUGCAAGGUCCUGGGUUCAAUCCUCAGCACCA
rnacentral:tRNA from 1 species